rnacentral:rRNA from 1 species
CCUACGGGAGGCAGCAGUAGGGAAUAUUGGGCAAUGGAGGCAACUCUGACCCAGCCAUGCCGCGUGCAGGAUGAAGGCGUUAUGCGUUGUAAACUGCUUUUAUAUAGGAAGAAAUAGACCUUGCGAGGUAAGUUGACGGUACUAUAUGAAUAAGCACCGGCUAACUCCGUGCCAGCAGCCGCGGUAAUACGGAGGGUGCAAGCGUUGUCCGGAUUUAUUGGGUUUAAAGGGUGCGUAGGCGGUUUAUUAAGUCAGUGGUGAAAGACGGUCGCUCAACGAUUGCAGUGCCAUUGAUACUGGUAGACUUGAGUAUGAUUGAGGUAGCUGGAAUGGAUAGUGUAGCGGUGAAAUGCAUAGAUAUUAUCCAGAACACCAAUUGCGUAGGCAAGUUACUAAGUCAUAACUGACGCUGAUGCACGAAAGUGUGGGUAUCAAACAGGAUUAGAUACCCUGGUAGUCCACACUGUAAACGAUGAUAACUAACUGUUGGCUUUCGGGUCAGUGGUACAGAGAAAUCGUUAAGUUAUCCACCUGGGGAGUACGCCGGCAACGGUGAAACUCAAAGGAAUUGACGG